AGCAGCCGCCGCGGUAAUACGAAGGGUGCAAGCGUUGUUCGGAAUUACUGGGUGUAAAGCGUACGUAGGCGGCUUUGUAAGUUAGAGGUGAAAGCCCAGGGCUUAACUCUGGAACUGCCUUUAAGACUGCAAGGCUUGAACGUUGGAGAGGUGAGUGGAAUUCCGAGUGUAGAGGUGAAAUUCGUAGAUAUUCGGAAGAACACCAGUGGCGAAGGCGGCUCACUGGACGACUGUUGACGCUGAGGUACGAAAGCGUGGGGAGCAAACAGGAUUAGAUACCCCUGUAGUCCCUGUCUCUUAUAC
rnacentral:rRNA from 1 species